CGUUAUCCGGAAUUAUUGGGCGUAAAGGGUGCGUAGGCGGCAUGAUAAGUUAUUGGCGGCAAAUCGAGGCUCAACCUCGUGGAAACUGAUAAUACUGUCUUGCUUGAGUGCAGAAGAGGUUAACGGAACUCCAUGUGGAGCGGUAAAAUGUGUAGAUAUAUGGAAGAACAUCAAUAACGGCGAAGGCAGUUAACUAGUCUGUUACUGACGUUGAGGCACGAAAGCGUGGGGAGCAAAAAGG
rnacentral:rRNA from 1 species